rnacentral:miRNA from 1 species
GACUGGUGACAGAGUGAGAGAGGGGGUGACUAGUGACAGAGUGAAAGAGGGGGUGACUGUCACUAGUCAUCCCAUCCCUCACUCUUUCACUAGUCACCCCCUCUCUCACUCUGUCACUAGUCAC